AUUGAACGCUGGCGGCAGGCUUAACACAUGCAAGUCGAGCGGGGUGAUGGUGCUUGCACUAUCGCUUAGCGGCGGACGGGUGAGUAAUGCUUAGGAAUCUGCCUAUUAGUGGGGGACAACAUCUCGAAAGGGAUGCUAAUACCGCAUACGUCCUACGGGAGAAAGCAGGGGAUCACUUGUGACCUUGCGCUAAUAGAUGAGCCUAAGUCGGAUUAGCUAGUUGGUGGGGUAAAGGCCUACCAAGGCGACGAUCUGUAGCGGGUCUAAGAGGAUGAUCCGCCAGACUGGGACUGAGACACGGCCCAGACUCCUACGGGAGGCAGCAGUGGGGAAUAUUGGACAAUGGGGGGAAUCCUGAUCCAGCCAUGCCGCGUGUGUGAAGAAGGCCUUAUGGUUGUAAAGCACUUUAAGCGAGGAGGAGGCUCUUUUGGUUAAUACCCAAGAUGAGUGGACGUUACUCGCAGAAUAAGCACCGGCUAACUCUGUGCCAGCCGCCGCGGUAA
rnacentral:rRNA from 1 species